GAUGAAGAACGCAGCGAAAUGCGAUAAGUAAUGUGAAUUGCAGAAUUCAGUGAAUCAUCGAGUCUUUGAACGCACAUUGCGCCCCCUGGUAUUCCGGGGGGCAUGCCUGUCCGAGCGUCAUUGCUGCCCUCAAGCACGGCUUGUGUGUUGGGCCCCGUCCCCUCCCCCGGGGACGGGCCCGAAAGGCAGCGGCGGCACCGCGUCCGAUCCUCGAGCGUAUGGGGCUUUGUCACCCGCUCUGUAGGCCCGGCCGGCGCCAGCCGACACCCAACUUUUAUUUCUAAGGUUGACCUCGGAUCAGGUAGGGAUACCCGCUGAACUAAAGCAUAUCAAUAAGCGGAGGA
rnacentral:misc_RNA from 1 species